GACGAACGCUGGCGGCGUGCUUAACACAUGCAAGUCGAACGCUGAACCCGCUUCGGUGGGGGAUGAGUGGCGAACGGGUGAGUAACACGUGGGCAACCUGCCCCCGGCUCUGGGAUAACUCCAAGAAAUUGGGGCUAAUACCGGAUGUGACCGCUGGCCGCAUGGUCUGGUGGUGGAAAGGGUUUCCGGCUGGGGAUGGGCCCGCGGCCUAUCAGCUUGUUGGUGGGGUAGUGGCCUACCAAGGCGACGAUGGGUAGCCGGCCUGAGAGGGUGACCGGCCACACUGGGACUGAGACACGGCCCAGACUCCUACGGGAGGCAGCAGUGGGGAAUAUUGCGCAAUGGGCGGAAGCCUGACGCAGCGACGCCGCGUGGGGGAUGACGGCCUUCGGGUUGUAAACCUCUUUCAGCAGGGACGAAGCGCAAGUGACGGUACCUGCAGAAGAAGCACCGGCCAACUACGUG
rnacentral:rRNA from 1 species